rnacentral:rRNA from 1 species
UUGACUAAGGUUUCCAGAGGAAGGCUCGUCCGCUCUGGGUUAGUCGGGUCCUAAGCUGAGGCCGACAGGCGUAGGCGAUGGAUAACAGGUUGAUAUUCCUGUACCACCUAUAAUCGUUUUAAUCGAUGGGGGGACGCAGUAGGAUAGGCGAAGCGUGCGAUUGGAUUGCACGUCUAAGCAGUAAGGCUGAGUAUUAGGCAAAUCCGGUACUCGUUAAGGCUGAGCUGUGAUGGGGAGAAGACAUUGAGUCUUCGAGUCGUUGAUUUCACACUGCCGAGAAAAGCCUCUAGAUAGAAAAUAGGUGCCCGUACCGCAAACCGACACAGGUAGUCAAGAUGAGAAUUCUAAGGUGAGCGAGCGAACUCUCGUUAAGGAACUCGGCAAAAUGACCCCGUAACUUCGGGAGAAGGGGUGCUCUUUAGGGUUAACGCCCAGAAGAGCCGCAGUGAAUAGGCCCAAGCGACUGUUUAUCAAAAACACAGGUCUCUGCUAAACCGUAAGGUGAUGUAUAGGGGCUGACGCCUGCCCGGUGCUGGAAGGUUAAGAGGAGUGGUUAGCUUCUGCGAAGCUACGAAUCGAAGCCCCAGUAAACGGCGGCCGUAACUAUAACGGUCCUAAGGUAGCGAAAUUCCUUGUCGGGUAAGUUCCGACCCGCACGAAAGGCGUAACGAUUUGGGCACUGUCUCAACGAGAGACUCGGUGAAAUCAUAGUACCUGUGAAGAUGCAGGUUACCCGCGACAGGACGGAAAGACCCCGUGGAGCUUUACUGUAGCCUGAUAUUGAAAUUCGGCACAGCUUGUACAGGAUAGGUAGGAGCCUUUGAAACGUGAGCGCUAGCUUACGUGGAGGCGCUGGUGGGAUACUACCCUAGCUGUGUUGGCUUUCUAACCCGCACCACUUAUCGUGGUGGGAGACAGUGUCAGGCGGGCAGUUUGACUGGGGCGGUCGCCUCCUAAAAGGUAACGGAGGCGCUCAAAGGUUCCCUCAGAAUGGUUGGAAAUCAUUCAUAGAGUGUAAAGGCAUAAGGGAGCUUGACUGCGAGACCUACAAGUCGAGCAGGGUCGAAAGACGGACUUAGUGAUCCGGUGGUUCCGCAUGGAAGGGCCAUCGCUCAACGGAUAAAAGCUACCCCGGGGAUAACAGGCUUAUCUCCCCCAAGAGUUCACAUCGACGGGGAGGUUUGGCACCUCGAUGUCGGCUCAUCGCAUCCUGGGGCUGUAGUCGGUCCCAAGGGUUGGGCUGUUCGCCCAUUAAAGCGGUACGCGAGCUGGGUUCAGAACGUCGUGAGACAGUUCGGUCCCUAUCCGUCGUGGGCGUAGGAAAUUUGAGAGGAGCUGUCCUUAGUACGAGAGGACCGGGAUGGACAUACCUCUGGUGUACCAGUUGUCGUGCCAACGGCAUAGCUGGGUAGCUAUGUGUGGACGGGAUAAGUGCUGAAAGCAUCUAAGCAUGAAGCCCCCCUCAAGAUGAGAUUUCCCAACUUC